rnacentral:rRNA from 1 species
CAAUAGCGUAUAUUAAAGUUGUUGCGGUUAAAAAGCUCGUAGUUGGAUUUCUGCUGAGGACGAUCGGUCCGCCCACUGGGUGAGUAUCUGGCUCGGCCUUGGCAUCUUCUUGGAGAACGUUGCUGCACUUGACUGUGUGGUGCGGUAUCCAGGACUUUUACUUUGAGGAAAUUAGAGUGUUUCAAGCAGGCGCACGCCUUGAAUACAUUAGCAUGGAAUAAUAAGAUAGGACCUUGGUUCUAUUUUGUUGGUUUCUAGGGCUGAGAUAAUGAUUAAUAGGGAUAAUUGGGGGCAUCUGUAUCAACGCGUCAGAGGUGGAAUUCUUGGAUUGCGUUGCGACAAACUACUGCGAAAGCAUUUGCCAAGGAUGUUUUCAUUGA